AUAUAAACCCUCCUCAAUACCCAAUCAAAUAAAAUCAUUUCUCACCAAUCCUCGCGAUACAACCCACCCCUACCUUAGUACUUCACAGGAAUAUACUAAAAUCUAUAAUAGUCUUUAUAAACAAAUGUACCUUUUGCAUCAUGGUUCAACAAGCAAAAAAGAAACCCUUCCAUCUCGAAAUCAGAGCGAGCUAAUACUAUUCUGUUUAGAACUUAAAGCCUCUUAUUUCAUAAAGUCCUCCAGAAAUAUUAUUAGAGGCUACAUACCAACCGCGCCUGAUAAUAGCUAGUUUUCUCUAACCCUAUCUCAGUAAAAGAAAUUAGAAUUAACCCAACUCUCAAAUUCAAUCUAAUUAUCCCAAAUAUAUGAGGAUAAGCUCAUCUAUUUUCCUUAUAUUCAAACUAACCAAAGUUAACCAACCUUCAUAGGCCUAAAAUCAGCCAAUCACACUUACCUCGUUAUAGAAAACUACAAUUCCAUACUUACAAUUUUACUAAUAAAUUACCAAUAUAAGAGAAACUUCCCGCAAACAACCUCCAUAGGAAAUUUCUAUGUAGAAAUCAGUAUUUUUUAUUCCAACCAAAACCAAAUUUAAAUUAAUCCCAAAUUUAUCUUCUCCCCAUAUUGAAAAGGAACUCUGCAAAUCAUUAAUCCGACUGUUUACCAAAAACAUUGCCUCUAGAUUCUUUAUUAAAGGUACAUCCUGCCCAGUGAUUACUUCAACGGCCGCGGUACCCUGACCGUGCAAAGGUAGCAUAAUCAUUUGCCUCUUAAUUGGUGGCUAGAAUGAAUGGACAAACGAGAUUAAUUCUGUCUCCUCAAUACUCAAAUAAAUUAGUCUUCAGGUGAAGAAACCUGAAUACAAAUAAAAGACAAGAAGACCCUGUUGAGUUUCACUUACCCUAGUUAAUUCACUAACUUUACUACAUAAAGUUUGGUUGGGGCGACCAGGGAAUAAACUAAACUUCCCUAAUCAAUAAGAACAAUAUCUCCAUUACUAUGACCCUCCACCAAGAUCAAUAAAAUAAACUACCACAGGGAUAACAGGCUUAUCUUUCUAGAGAGUUCAAAUUGAUAGAAAGGUUUGGCACCUCGAUGUUGGCUUAGAGUACUCAAAUGGUGCAGCAGCCAUUAAUGAUUAGUUUGUUCAACUAUUAAAACUCUACAUGAGCUGAGUUCAGACCGGCGUGAGCCAGGUUAGUUUCUAUCUUUAUUUCAUAAACUCAACAGAAUAUAAUAGUACGAAAGGACCUUAUAAUUCUAGGAAACCUAAUAACAUAAGAAACCAAAUAAUCUUUAUUAUCAACACCUCAGUAUCUUCACAUC
rnacentral:rRNA from 1 species